rnacentral:rRNA from 1 species
AACGAACGCUGGCGGCAGGCCUCAAACAUGCAAGUCUAGGGGGUGUAGCAAUACAUCACCGGCGGACGGGUGCGUAACACGUGGGAAUAUACCUUUUGGUUCGGAACAACGCAGGGAAACUUGCGCUAAUACCGAAUGUGCCCUUACGGGGAAAGAUUUAUCGCCUUUAGAGCGGCCCGCGUCUGAUUAGCUAGUUGGUGAGGUAAAGGCUCACCAAGGCUACGAUCAGUAGCUGGUCUGAGAGGAUGACCAGCCACAUUGGGACUGAGACACGG